UGAUCAUCAUCAAACCAUAGACUACUAAUUUCUUCCCCUGUACUAAAUCCCCAAUACUGGAAAUUUCAAUUCAAAACCCUAAAAACUUCAGUUCCAGUUUUUUUUCUAUUCACGUUCGAGUUUCCAGAGCAGUCUCCUGGGUUUUCAGUUUGUUCACACAAGAGAAUGUUGUUGGGCCAUGCUAGUGUCCAUCUGAACUUCGUUCGUCAAAGGACCAGCUACUUGCUGAUCCUGAAGCGCUGGAAGAUGACUUUAAAUUAGACAGUUCUGAACCGAUUUUGUAUGUGGCUUCCUUUGAUGAACUCGCAAGAAAUUAUCUUCAAUAUGACACCAUUAUAUGGGUUUCUAUAUCGUUAUUGCUGGUUUUGGCUUGGGUUGUUGGCGUCAUCAUGUUGCUCUACUUGCCCUUUAGAAGAUAUGUGCUUCAGAAGGACAUUUCGUCACGCAAGCUGUAUGUCACACCUAGUGAAAUAGUUUGAGGUUUCGAGGCCUUCUUUCAUACCCUUUUGGGGCACAAUAACAGUAGAGAAGCAUGUACCUCUUUCACAGGUCAUUGAUAAUAUAAUUGAACAAGGCUGGUUGCAAUCAGUGUACGGUAUCCUUACUUUCAGAGUCGAAAGCAUAGCCCAUGGAAAAGCGGCACCUGUUGAUGAACUACAGGUUCAAGGGGUUGCUAACCCUGCACUUCUGAGAAAGGCAAUGGAACUGAUUUCUUAUGUUAUCUUUUUUCUUUCUUUCUUCUUUUCCUUAAAAGUACACCUGGGAUUAUAAUCUUUGGAAAAUGAUGAGAUUUAUUCUCAUAAACAAUUAGAAUGAACUUUGUUUAAAUGUUCUGCUGAAUUGCUGUUGUGCAUGCAAGGCAUCCUUAUGGAGAUUGAAAAUCAGAAGUUCAUACUUGUGUUUAUGCAAAAACUUGGAGUUGUUUAUGCCUGGAGAGUUGUUUAUUCUCAUAAACGAUGCCUGGAGAGUUGCUUAUGCAAAAACUUGUCGAAGUCACUAAAUCAGUAAAGAAAAUCGAGUUUCUCAUCGAGAAGUCCCAAGCUUCUUCCGAGGGUAGCUGAGAAAGGUGUAGAAAGUCUCAAUACCGAGAAAUGGAUAGAUAACUUCAUAUCGUCGAGCUUCAAGAGACUUUUCUUUUGUUUAAUAAGCAAAAGCCUUUGUGUUUCUUCUUGGUGUUCUAUAAGUAGGGUUUCAUCAGUUCAUUGUUCCUCUUUUUCUUUGCUGUUUUUUCACUCGACAGGUAACGUUGUAACCAUAGGCCUUAAUCUCGGACUUUGUAAAUUUUCAUGUAGUAAAAUUUGUACCAUUGUCCAAGGUUUAUGAAAUCAAGUCACAAAAUUAUGCUUCA